GGAUCUUCUGGAAAGUUGCUUCAGAGCAUAGGAGAUGUGAUGUUUGUGCUCUCAGCGAAGUCUAUACUUUUUCUCAAAGAUGCACUGAUGAACAAACCAGAAAAGACAGCAUAGUCAUACAUGCUGGAUUUUGUAAGUCUCUUUCCUUCCUUUUCAGAAAGACUGGGAUGGGGUGGGGUGAACUAAGAAGUCAACCCUUGUCUUCCAUUUUUGAUUCUGGGACCACACUUCCACUCUCUUCUCUGUUCAACAUUCCAUGUCUUCUUGAGAAAGUAGACUGCAUUGAUUCCUUGGGCAACUAGCUGAAAAUAUAGACACUGCCUUUCAGGACUGGCUUGCCUAGCUGGCGUGUGAGACAGUUUCUCCCAAUUGGAUCUGAUCUGCAACUGAAGCUUCUUACCAGGGACUCAAUUUCUUAAACUCUCAAUAGUCCCAGAGCUGCUAGCAAGUAACAAAACACAUAAAAGGGCAGCAGACCUUUCUAGUCUUCCCAGACAUUCAGAGUAUUCUACGGAGACCUUGCUCAGAGCAACUCAAGGGUUCUUUGCUCCAGGGUGAUGCCAUUAUGUUGUUUCUCUUGGGGUGUUGAUACCAGGGGUUUUGGGGUGCCAGUGGAUCUAGCUUUGGUACACAUGGAAUGCAUGGCCAUGUCAAAGAGAUGUGCCCAGAGAAAUCAAUGAGUUUCCAUGAAGACCACUUCCCUCCUCUUCUUCCUCCUCCUUU
rnacentral:lncRNA from 1 species